rnacentral:rRNA from 1 species
CGAGCGAACAGAUAAGGAGCUUGCUCCUUUGACGUUAGCGGCGGACGGGUGAGUAACACGUGGGUAACCUACCUAUAAGACUGGGAUAACUUCGGGAAACCGGAGCUAAUACCGGAUAACAUUUGGAACCGCAUGGUUCUAAAGUGAAAGAUGGUUUUGCUAUCACUUAUAGAUGGACCCGCGCCGUAUUAGCUAGUUGGUAAGGUAACGGCUUACCAAGGCGACGAUACGUAGCCGACCUGAGAGGGUGAUCGGCCACACUGGAACUGAGACACGGUCCAGACUCCUACGGGAGGCAGCAGUAGGGAAUCUUCCGCAAUGGGCGAAAGCCUGACGGAGCAACGCCGCGUGAGUGAUGAAGGGUUUCGGCUCGUAAAACUCUGUUAUUAGGGAAGAACAAAUGUGUAAGUAACUGUGCACGUCUUGACGGUACCUAAUCAGAAAGCCACGGCUAACUACGUGCCAGCAGCCGCGGUAAUACGUAGGUGGCAAGCGUUAUCCGGAAUUAUUGGGCGUAAAGCGCGCGUAGGCGGUUUCUUAAGUCUGAUGUGAAAGCCCACGGCUCAACCGUGGAGGGUCAUUGGAAACUGGGAAACUUGAGUGCAGAAGAGGAAAGUGGAAUUCCAUGUGUAGCGGUGAAAUGCGCAGAGAUAUGGAGGAACACCAGUGGCGAAGGCGACUUUCUGGUCUGUAACUGACGCUGAUGUGCGAAAGCGUGGGGAUCAAACAGGAUUAGAUACCCUGGUAGUCCACGCCGUAAACGAUGAGUGCUAAGUGUUAGGGGGUUUCCGCCCCUUAGUGCUGCAGCUAACGCAUUAAGCACUCCGCCUGGGGAGUACGACCGCAAGGUUGAAACUCAAAGGAAUUGACGGGGACCCGCACAAGCGGUGGAGCAUGUGGUUUAAUUCGAAGCAACGCGAAGAACCUUACCAAAUCUUGACAUCCUUUGAAAACUCUAGAGAUAGAGCUUUCCCCUUCGGGGGACAAAGUGACAGGUGGUGCAUGGUUGUCGUCAGCUCGUGUCGUGAGAUGUUGGGUUAAGUCCCGCAACGAGCGCAACCCUUAAGCUUAGUUGCCAUCAUUAAGUUGGGCACUCUAGGUUGACUGCCGGUGACAAACCGGAGGAAGGUGGGGAUGACGUCAAAUCAUCAUGCCCCUUAUGAUUUGGGCUACACACGUGCUACAAUGGACAAUACAAAGGGCAGCUAAACCGCGAGGUCAUGCAAAUCCCAUAAAGUUGUUCUCAGUUCGGAUUGUAGUCUGCAACUCGACUACAUGAAGCUGGAAUCGCUAGUAAUCGUAGAUCAGCAUGCUACGGUGAAUACGUUCCCGGGUCUUGUACACACCGCCCGUCACACCACGAGAGUUUGUAACACCCGAAGCCGGUGGAGUAACCAUUUAUGGAG